UACGAAGGGGGCUAGCGUUGCUCGGAAUCACUGGGCGUAAAGCGCACGUAGGCGGAUUGCUAAGUCAGGGGUGAAAUCCUGGAGCUCAACUCCAGAACUGCCUUUGAUACUGGCGGUCUCGAGUCCGGGAGAGGUGAGUGGAACUGCGAGUGUAGAGGUGAAAUUCGUAGAUAUUCGCAAGAACACCGGUGGCGAAGGCGGCCCACUGGUCCGGUACUGACGCUGAGGUGCGAAAGCGUGGGGAGCAAACAGG
rnacentral:rRNA from 1 species